GCCAGUAUGGCGGAAUUGGCAGACGCACUGGACUCAAAAUCCAGAGAGCUUAGCUCGUGCCGGUUCGACCCCGGCUACUGGUA
rnacentral:tRNA from 1 species